UACGUAGGCAGCGAGCGUUGUUCGGAGUUACUGGGCGUAAAGGGUGUGUAGGCGGUUCUUUUAAGUUUGGUGUGAAAUCUCCCGGCUCAACCGGGAGGGUGCGCCGAAUACUGAGGGACUUCGAGUGCGGGAGAGGAAAGUGGAAUUCCUGGUGUAGCGGUGAAAUGCGUAGAUAUCAGGAGGAACACCGGUGGUGUAGACGGCUUUCUGGACCGUAACUGACGCUGAGACACGAAAGCGUGGGUAGCAAACAGG
rnacentral:rRNA from 1 species